UACGUAGGGGGCAAGCGUUGUCCGGAAUCAUUGGGCGUAAAGCGCGUGUAGGCGGCCCGGUAAGUCCGCUGUGAAAGUCGGGGGCUCAACCCUCGAAUGCCGGUGGAUACUGUCGGGCUAGAGUGCGGAAGGGGCGAGUGGAAUUCCUGGUGUAGCGGUGAAAUGCGCAGAUAUCAGGAGGAACACCAAUGGCGAAGGCAGCUCGCUGGGACGGUACUGACGCUGAGGCGCGAAAGCGUGGGGAGCAAACAGG
rnacentral:rRNA from 1 species